rnacentral:misc_RNA from 1 species
AUCAUGGGUAGAAGAUAGAGCACAAACUCAUACACACAAAUCAUUGCAUAUAUGUGCACAUAUAUAUAUAGUGUUAUAGAGAAGUAGUAAGUAUCUCACGGGUCGAUUUUCUCUACAUCAACAGAGUUCAGCGGCAUUGUCAGUGCUGUCAGCUGACGAAAGAAUUGGACGUAGUAACAAUAAAAAAUGUCGUUCGGGGAAAAAAUAGCAUCAAUAAUGGAAAGGCCUGGCCAGGAUCCUGUCGCUAAGGACGAUACUCCUUGGUGGAUGAAGUAUGCUGGGCGAGGGCUCGGCACUGUAGGCGGUUUCAUCGCUAUCUUCCUCGGAGUGUGGAAUUGUGCAACAAUAUUAUUUGCUUCAAUAAUCUGUUUUCUUAGCGGUAUAUGGCAAAUGGUUGCUGGUUUUAUAGUUUUGAUGAUUGAAGCACCUUGUUGUUGCCUUUUCAUUGAUUUUGUACAAAACUUAAGCGAUAUGGUGGAAAACAAACCUUAUUGGAAUAAAGCGGCUGCUUAUUGCAUAAUAGCAUUGCCACCAAUUUUCCUUUGUCCAGGAAUAAAUAGUAUACUUGGUAGUGGGUUUAUUUUUGCUACUGGUAUAAUAUAUGGAUUAAUGUCAAUUGGCAGAAAAGGAACCAGGCCCGACCCGGCAGGAAUGACGUCGUCGGGUGUGGGAUCCCCACAGGGUACAGUACCUCCUACUACAGAUCACCAUACCACACUCAUGGAGGAUCCUGAUGUCUGGAGGCCUACAUAAAACAUCAGAUAUUCAUUGUACCACUUCACUAACCAGGCAAUAAUAUAUAAAAUUCAAUGUUAUCCCUAUGUGAAUAGCCUCAUCAUAUUCAUAAAUAUGAGCAUCAUGGGGAGAAAUGAGAUCAGCAGCAAUGGAAACAUCAGCUCCUUCAUCAAGUAUGCAAUCAACGCUCGUUGAAAAUGCUCA